rnacentral:rRNA from 1 species
UACGAAGGUCCCAAGCGUUAUCCGGAUUUAUUGGGUUUAAAGGGUGCGUAGGCGGGUUAUUAAGUCAGUGGUGAAAGCCUUCAGCUUAACUGAAGAAUUGCCAUUGAUACUGAUGAUCUUGAGUAUGAUUGAGGUGGGCGGAAUGUGUCAUGUAGCGGUGAAAUGCUUAGAUAUGACACAGAACACCGAUUGCGAAGGCAGCUCACUAAGUCAUA